GGCCUGUGUAUUUGAGCGUGAUGCGUAGAGGCAGGUACGGAGGUAGGUGCGAGUUUUGAAGGUUCUGGACACUUCAAAGGAUACCCAAAUCGACCCCUCUUUCAAGAGGUACAUACCCCUUUUUAUCUUUGCGCGAAACUUCCCUUUUUAGGGAGAAUUUCCCUUUCUCUUGCGAGGACCGAGUUUCCUUUUUUGAUGCCGGUUGUUUAUGCCAAGGAUUUUCUGGGAUAUUUGGAAACAUCCUUGUUUCCUUUUCCGGCUCCACGAAGAGGGGUGAUCCGGACGUAUAUAAGGGCUCGUGAUAUCUCCCUACUGGCCUCAAUCCAAUUCCGGCGCUGACUUCCGGUUGAGAAAGAUCAAUCCCAAACUGCUUGCCACGUCCUCACUCGUGGGUGGUCGUUGUUGGGGUCAAAAUCGGUCACGACAGAAUCAAUUUCUGAAAAUCGGUCACGACGGAUUCCGAAGAACAUUCAAAUUCCUCGUAUAACAUAGGCAAUUCGAGGUGUUCAGCUAACCGUUGUCGUUUUAUACGAUCAAUCCGAAUUCGAGAGAAUGAGUUCUUGCGGUUUUUAAAUCGUAAAGUUCCAAUGGUGACUCAGAUCAAGAAGAAACAAGAGCAGGUUCGAUCGAAUCCCAAAGGGGGGGAGCUACGAGGACGUGGCGAAGGCAGGCUGAUUGAUCCAACUCGCCGAACGGGUGAGUUGGAUGGCUUGAUCGAUCCAACUCGCCCGUUCAUCGAGUUGAACGGCUGGGUCGAUUCAACUCGCCCGUUCGGCGAGUUGGACGGUGUGGUCUGUCCAACUCGCCGAACGGGCGAGUUGGUCGGUGCAUCCGGUCCAACUCGCCCUUUCGGCGAGUUGGACGAUGGGUGUUUCCCUGUCCGGGAUCCGUUGUCCUAGGCCUUGAGUAACCUUUCUCGAAGACUUAUCAUGUGAAUCCUUUUCGGAAUUGUUGUGAACUUGAUUUUAGGUUUUGACACUUCUCUAUUCUUUUUAAUUUUAUCUCUCUUUUCCAAAGAGUACAUUUUCCGGGAAGUUUCUGACAUUGAUUCCAUCGUUACCGAUUUUGACCGCAAUAGUUAGCCCCCAUCUCGCUAGAAUUUUUGCGAUGUUCUUGGGAGCUGUUAGGCAGGUCAGGUAAGUUAGGCGGAAUUAAUGGUUGGAAGUUGUCUGUUCACUCUACUAAAAGUGGAGUGCGAUAAGAUUGGGGCUGCGCCUUGUGAAGGCUUCCUACGCACACUUGUCGAAGGGAUCAAGCCUUUCGUAGUUCGUCCUAGAGUUGAGAUUCUUACAACCUGUUUACUAGUCAGACCUUUACGGUCUAGUUAGUCGUGUAGAGGAUAUUAAGCAUUUAUAUGAGUGUAGAGGGAAGACUACGAGUUGUCAUCUCGUAAUCUAACUCUGGGUGAGCUGCUAUAUUUGUGAUCUGUUUCAAGAGUUUUCCACAGUGCGUAAACUUACGGGAUUUCUGAAGACGCUCGAAUAUUAGCCAAGAGAAAAUUUUUGGGAUCUCGUAUCAGAGUGUUUGAUACUAUGCCUAGAGAUGUUAGAAACCAGUGUGCUAGAUUUAGGGCAAGAUCUAGGUCUAAUCACGGCUUUAGGGGGUGCGAUGACUACUUCGACUUACGUUUCCCGUAUCAUUUUCGACAUGAUUCCGUCCCGCUUUAAAGUCUGCGAUAUGUUCUCGGCUUACGUGACUUGAAUGGUAGGAAUUGAGCAUCUCUUCGAGGACAAUUUUUAAGUCUCCCGAAUGUGCUGGCCAAAAUUUUCAAUUUUUUAUAUAGCGUUAUUACCCUUGUGUCGGGUGUUCGAGAGCUAUCUCUACGAGAUGGCUUAGACUGAUUUGGACGUUAAGAGUUUAUUGUGAUCAGCAACAAACUUAUCGGUAGAUAUUACCGUUUUGGAGUCUUCGCGAAGAAUGCGUGUUUAAGAAAAUGUUGACGAGGAAGGUAUUUUUGUCGAAAACACUUAUUCUUUAAGCGUCUGUGACGUUUCGCGAUGCUGAAGAUUGGUUUUUCUUUUGCAUACUGCGUUUCGUGGUAUAAAUGUUUGCGGGCCUGAAGAUGUUUUGCGGUGUUGCAAGAGUUUAGUCUUAAUCCUACGCCGGAGAAACAUUUUUGGUUUGUGUGCGGAUGUUUAAAGCCAAAACUGUUGUUGCUGUUUGGAUGCUAAUAGUUCGAUUUGCGAUAGAGGAAUUAGGAUCAUUGAUGUGUUGUGAUUUUGCAUAGUUUUAGCUUUGUUAUUUCAUAUAUAUUCAUGCAUUAACCUUACAUUUAUUUGCAUUUAGAGUCUAUUGCAUGUACAUUUGCAUCUUGUAGGUGUUGGAUGAAUUGUUUGGAGUUUUGGAGGUGAUUAGAGCACAAAAGGAGCUUUCGAGGAGUCUUGAACCGAACGUGUGAAAGACAGGCAUGGAUGAAGGUCUUAAAGAUAUCUUUUGAAACUUGUCUUUUGGGAAGACAUGGUAAAUUGAGUUAGCUUUACAAUGGAGGUGGUUUCAAGUCGUUUGGAGCUGUAUUGAGGGAUUUAUGAUCAAAAUACUACACACAUAUCAGUGUGUGCAACAUGGAGAAAGUGGAGAAAACUUUAAUGAGUGAGUUUUAUCUCUUUAAAGCUUGCAACAUGGGGGAUGGGUUGUCUAUCAUGAGUUUGGUGGCUCUUUUGGCCUAACUUUCUCUACCUUUUCUGAAGAGGCAAGACUACUUUGGCCAUAUGAAGGGGCAAAAGGUGUUCUAUAAUGGAAGAAAGUGGAGAAUAACUUUUAUGAGUGUGUUUUAUGCUUUAUGCUUUCACAUGAUGGAUGUGUUGUCAUCCUCCUUUACUUAGGCUAUAAAAGAGACUGCAAGGGGAAGGAGGAAGACACACAAUACACAGAGUACAAUACAACAAAGAGUAGAGAGUGAAAGUUUUAUAGUUUCAUAUUUUGUAUUUUGAGAGUUUGAGAGAAAACAUUUGUUCUUGAGCUGUUCUUCAUUGUUCAUCAUCUAUUCUUGAGUUUUAAUUUC